GACAGAGGAUGCAAGCGUUAUCCGGAAUGAUUGGGCGUAAAGCGUCUGUAGGUGGCUUUUUAAGUCCGCCGUCAAAUCCCAGGGCUCAACCCUGGACAGGCGGUGGAAACUACCAAGCUGGAGUACGGUAGGGGCAGAGGGAAUUUCCGGUGGAGCGGUGAAAUGCGUAGAGAUCGGAAAGAACACCAACGGCGGAAAGCACUCCUCGUGCCUGGGCCGAACACUGACA
rnacentral:rRNA from 1 species